UACGUAGGGUGCAAGCGUUAAUCGGAAUUACUGGGCGUAAAGCGUGCGCAGGCGGUUUUGUAAGCCGGAUGUGAAAUCCCCGGGCUCAACCUGGGAACUGCAUUUGUGACUGCAUGGCUGGAGUGCGGCAGAGGGGGAUGGAAUUCCGCGUGUAGCAGUGAAAUGCGUAGAUAUGCGGAGGAACACCGAUGGCGAAGGCAAUCCCCUGGGCCUGCACUGACGCUCAUGCACGAAAGCGUGGGGAGCAAACAGG
rnacentral:rRNA from 1 species